CCUCCUUUCACCAUUGAGCUACCUGGAUGCAACCAACAUCUGCAUCUGUUGUUGGCCAGUCUCUGGCCUGGGACUUUAUGAGAUUCAGAUGGGGUUACAUCUUUACUCAGUACGGUGGUGGUUCUUUCUCCUUCUCCAUCUCCAAUCUCAUCGAUGGUGUGACCAAGAGGUUCAUGCAGUUACAGGCAGACAACUGAGGUUGGCUUCGACUCGGGUAUCUUUGCAAUUUCACAUGCCAUUGAGCGGACAACAGCUAACAUCAAAUGGGUGGCAGAGAACAAGAACUGUGCAGGCAUGGUUUAAAGCAGAGACUGAUGCACCAUAAUGGUCACAUGGAGACACAAACACCUGUCCAUUUAUUUAUUAUCUAAGACCAAUCCUAAAGCCAUGUUUCCUGUUAUUUUUUUGUCUCUCUAACAGUCAAUUACACUUUUUAUUCUAACGUUAUCCUGUCCCUUAAUCAGAAUACUAUGUCGGCCUAUACUUCUAUUUUUGGGGGAAAUAACUUUGUAUGAAUUAAAACAUUAUUUUUCUCUCAAAUAAUCGUCACGCAUUGGUCUUAGUAUUUUGUGUUUUCUUUAUUUAUUUGGUCAGGCCAGGGUGUGACAUGGGUUUAUU